rnacentral:rRNA from 1 species
UACGUAGGGUGCAAGCGUUGUCCGGAAUUAUUGGGCGUAAAGAGCUCGUAGGCGGUCUGUCACGUCGGCUGUGAAAACCCGGGGCUCAACCCCGGGCCUGCAGUCGAUACGGGCAGACUAGAGUGCGGUAGGGGAGACUGGAAUUCCUGGUGUAGCGGUGAAAUGCGCAGAUAUCAGGAGGAACACCGGUGGCGAAGGCGGGUCUCUGGGCCGUAACUGACGCUGAGGGGCGAAAGCGUGGGGAGCGAACAGG